GACGAACCGUGCGAACGUUGUUCGGAAUCACUGGGCUUAAAGGGCUCGUAGGCGGCCAACUAAGUCAGACGUGAAAUCCCUCGGCUUAACCGGGGAACUGCGUCUGAUACUGGAUGGCUUGAAUCCGGGAGAGGGAUGCGGAAUUCCAGGUGUAGCGGUGAAAUGCGUAGAUAUCUGGAGGAACACCGGUGGCGAAGGCGGCAUCCUGGACCGGCAUUGACGCUGAGGAGCGAAAGCCAGGGGAGCAAACGGG
rnacentral:rRNA from 1 species